rnacentral:rRNA from 1 species
ACGAACGCUGGCGGCGUGCUUAACACAUGCCAGUCGAACGGAAAGGCCCUGCUUUUGUGGGGUGCUCGAGUGGCGAACGGGUGAGUAACACGUGAGUAACCUGCCCUUGACUUUGGGAUAACUUCAGGAAACUGGGGCUAAUACCGGAUAGGAGCUCCUGCUGCAUGGUGGGGGUUGGAAAGUUUCGGCGGUUGGGGAUGGACUCGCGGCUUAUCAGCUUGUUGGUGGGGUAGUGGCUUACCAAGGCUUUGACGGGUAGCCGGCCUGAGAGGGUGACCGGCCACAUUGGGACUGAGAUACGGCCCAGACUCCUACGGGAGGCAGCAGUGGGGAAUAUUGCACAAUGGGCGGAAGCCUGAUGCAGCAACGCCGCGUGCGGGAAGACGGCCUUCGGGUUGUAAACCGCUUUCGCCUGUGACGAAGCGUGAGUGACGGUAAUGGGUAAAGAAGCACCGGCUAACUACGUG